rnacentral:rRNA from 1 species
UGAGGAAUAUUGGUCAAUGGGCGAGAGCCUGAACCAGCCAAGUAGCGUGCAGGACGACGGCCCUAUGGGUUGUAAACUGCUUUUAUGUGGGGAUAAAGUGCGUGACGUGUCAUGCAUUGCAGGUACCACAUGAAUAAGGACCGGCUAAUUCCGUGCCAGCAGCCGCGGUAAUACGGAAGGUCCGGGCGUUAUCCGGAUUUAUUGGGUUUAAAGGGAGCGUAGGCUGUCUAUUAAGCGUGUUGUGAAAUAUACCGGCUCAACCGGUGGCUUGCAGCGCGAACUGGUCGACUUGAGUAUGCAGGAAGUAGGCGGAAUUCAUGGUGUAGCGGUGAAAUGCUUAGAUAUCAUGACGAACUCCGAUUGCGCAGGCAGCUUACUGUAGCAUAACUGACGCUGAUGCUCGAAAGUGCGGGUAUCGAACAGG